rnacentral:rRNA from 1 species
UACGUAGGCAGCGAGCGUUGUUCGGAAUUACUGGGCGUAAAGAGUGUGUAGGCGGUGCUCCCAGUCUGUUGUGAAAUCUCCCGGCUCAACUGGGAGGGUGCAGCGGAAACUAGAGUGCUAGAGGGUGGGAGAGGUAAGCGGAAUUCCUGGUGUAGCGGUGAAAUGCGUAGAUAUCAGGAGGAACACCUGUGGUGUAGACAGCUUACUGGACCACUUCUGACGCUGAGACACGAAAGCGUGGGUAGCAAACAGG